GACGAACGCUGGCGGCGUGCUUAACACAUGCAAGUCGAACGGAAAGGCCCUGCUUUUGUGGGGUGCUCGAGUGGCGAACGGGUGAGUAACACGUGAGUAACCUGCCCUUGACUUUGGGAUAACUUCAGGAAACUGGGGCUAAUACCGGAUAGGAGCUCCUGCUGCAUGGUGGGGGUUGGAAAGUUUCGGCGGUUGGGGAUGGACUCGCGGCUUAUUAGCUUGUUGGUGGGGUAGUGGCUUACCAAGGCUUUGACGGGUAGCCGGCCUGAGAGGGUGACCGGCCACAUUGGGACUGAGAUACGGCCCAGACUCCUACGGGAGGCAGCAGUGGGGAAUAUUGCACAAUGGGCGGAAGCCUGAUGCAGCAACGCCGCGUGCGGGAUGACGGCCUUUGGGUUGUAAACCGCUUUCGCCUGUGACGAAGCGUGAGUGACGGUAAUGGGUAAAGAAGCACCGGCUAACUACGUG
rnacentral:rRNA from 1 species